GAAUGGAUGAAUGGAUGAAUGGAUGAAAGAAUGAACGAAUGAAUAAGCAGUGUUGUAAGGGUUAACAAUUAUUUAUAAAACAACUAAACGAAUUUUUUUUGCAUCUUGCAUUUUCGCUUCAACAAGUCAUAUUAUAAAACCAAUGAUCAUACUUUUACAAAAGCGGAGAAAACAAAGUGAAAAAUGUAAAAUAAACAAAAAAGGUAGCUGUUGAGUAACUUUAAAAAAAAAUAAAAUAAAAUAAAAUAAAAUAAAAUUAUCUUACCUAAAAUGCAAAUAUAUUUCAACAAAAGGACAAAACGAGCCCUUAUAUUAUAACAAACAAAAUUUUAUAAAAUAUUUUUCUUUGUGCUUAAAUAGGGGUUAUACUCCUUAGUAUAAGCAUGUAUAUGUACAUAUACAUAAUAUGUACAAGUGCGUAUACAUAAUUUAUACUUUUUUUUUUUUUUUUUUUUUUUUUUUUUUUCUUAUGUAUAUAUGCAAUUUAAAAAAAAAAAAAAAAAGAAAAGUGCUAUUUCGACAUUUCUUAACCUUCAUAUAAAAAUAUCAUAAUUUUUACUUGAGGAUGUAUAUAGUUUGAAAUAAUGCUAUUUUGAAGAGGGCAUAUAACACAAUGGAGUUUGUUAUGCAUUAAAAGAAAUGAAAAAAAAAAAAAAAAAAAAUAUAUAUAUAUAUAUAUAUAUAUAUAUAUAUAUAUAUAAAUACAUACAUAUAUAAAUAUAUUAUUUAGUUAAUCACUUAACCAUUUGAUCAACUAAAACUCAUUAAAUUUUUUAUAAUUUUUUUCUUUUUCCAUAAUUUACAAAUAUAGAAUUUUUCAGUAAAUGUAAAUAUUAUUUUUCAUUAAUCCCUUAGCUUUUACUAUCAUCAACUUGUAGAUUUUUUUUUUUUUUUUAAUUAAAGGCCUAUCGAGUGAAUAUCUCUAUCAUAAUGGUUUUCGGAAGUCCUUUUAGUGAUACUUAUCCAGCUUUUAUAUGGAAAAUUUUGGGGAAAAGUAGAAAAGGAAAAGACAUUUUUAAUCCUUUCUUUGUCGCUUUAAAUAAAACAAAAAUUUAUGAUCAUGUAUUAAAAUAUAAUAAUCGAUAUUGGCUUUUCGUUGUGACAACGGGCUGUAUCUCAUCUUAUUUUUGGGGGGUAUUCUUUAACAACUUUUGGAAGAAAAUAAAUAAAGGGAAACUAUACAUUGAUUGCCCUUACACGUACCCUGUAGAAGAAGAUUAACGAAGCAUAAACAAAAAAAAACAUAAACAAGGAAAAAAAAAAAAAUUAUUUGAAACGUUAAAAUAUUAAACCAUUACAAUUACGGUUAGGUUAAUGUCUUAUCAGUGGUUUAAUAAAAUUUGAUAGAAAUUAUAAGUAUAUUGAAUA
rnacentral:lncRNA from 1 species